rnacentral:lncRNA from 1 species
GUUAAAAUGUGGGCACUUUCUAACCCUUUUGAAUUUCUCAAAUAUGUUUACCUUUCUAGGUUUCUCUUUAUUUCUGUUUCCCUUUCAAAUAAGUGUAGAGAUUAAAUUGUAAAGCCUGCCUAUUUUUAGAUUUAAUCACCAAAAGUGUAAACACCUACUUACAGUAGUGGGGAGAUCUGCCCAUUUUUUAGAUUUAAUCACCAAAGGUGUAAACACACAUUAAGAGGGAGGUCUGUGACACACACAUGAAAUAGUGGGUAAUGAAUCAAAAUCAACUGACUUUUCCUGGGCCGUCCUAAAAGCAAAAGCAUCAACUGUGAUUGGUAGAUGUAAAAAUUAGGGGAAGUGAUGCAAAAGAAAGUGCCUUUAAAAGGGAGUGACAACUGCCUGAGUGCAGUUGGACUUGGAACUUUCACUUGGAGUGGAACCUCCUGUGAGAGAAAGUUCUACUGGGAGCUCUACUGGGAGUUUGAAUUGGGAUGGAGGCUGAUAAAGAAUCUGCUUACUGGACUGACAUGUGUGUUCUUCAGGUUCUGCUUAUUUCUCUCUGCAUCAGUUCAUGUAGAUAUUACAAGGAAGCCUUUUGGAAGAAUUGCUAUGGUGAAAUACUGAAGUAGUACACUUCACAAGUGAGUUCAAACACCUAGAAUUUUGAUUAUUGGAACCAUAAUUUAUUAAUAAAAGAGAGAAAUAAAGACUCA